rnacentral:rRNA from 1 species
CAGUAGCCGCGGGAAUACGUAGGUGGCGAGCGUUGUCCGGAAUCAUUGGGCGUAAAGGGAGCGCAGGCGGGCAUGUAAGUCUUUCUUAAAAGUUCGGGGCUCAACCCCGUGAUGGGAAAGAAACUACAUGUCUUGAGUACAGGAGAGGAAAGCGGAAUUCCCAGUGUAGCGGUGAAAUGCGUAGAUAUUGGGAGGAACACCAGUGGCGAAGGCGGCUUUCUGGACUGCAACUGACGCUGAGGCUCGAAAGCCAGGGGAGCGAACGGGAUUAGAUACCCGAGUAGUCCCUGUCUCUUAUACA